GCCCAACAGCUAGCCCCUCCAAUCAAAACCAACAAAUCCCCAUCAAUAACCCCCAAUACCCUUAACCACUCCCAAACAAAUCAUUUUUCCCCCCUAGUACAGGUGAUAGAAAAGGAACUGCGGAGCAAUAGAAAAAGUACCGUAAGGGAAAGCUGAAAGAGAAAUGAAACAACCCAGUAAAGCAUAUAAAAGCAGAGACUUACCCUCGUACCUUU
rnacentral:rRNA from 1 species